rnacentral:rRNA from 1 species
UACGAAGGGGGCUAGCGUUGUUCGCAAUUACUGGGCGUAAAGCGCACGUAGGCGGAUCCUUAAGUCAGGGGUGAAAUCCCGAGGCUCAACCUCGGAACUGCCUUUGAUACUGGGGAUAUCGAGUCCGGGAGAGGUGAGUGGAACUGCGAGUGUAGAGGUGAAAUUCGUAGAUAUUCGCAAGAACACCAGUGGCGAAGGCGGCUCACUGGCCCGGUACUGACGCUGAGGUGCGAAAGCGUGGGGAGCAAACAGG